AUCAACUUUCGAUGGUAGGAUAGAGGCCUACCAUGGUGGUAACGGGUAACGGGGUGUUAGGGCACGACACCGGAGAGGGAGCCUGAGAAACGGCUACCACAUCCAAGGAUGGCAGCAGGCGCGCAAAUUACCCAAUCCCGACACGGGGAGGUAGUGACAAUAAAUAACAAUACGGGGUUCUUUCGGAUUUCGUAAUUGGAAUGAGUACAAUUUAAAUCUCUUAACGAGGAACAAUUGGAGGGCAAGUCUGGUGCCAGCAGCCGCGGUAAUUCCAGCUCCAAUAGCGUAUAUUAAAGUUGCUGCAGUUAAAAAGCUCGUAGUUGAAUUUCGGGACCAAUAUGUCGGUCGUGCCUCGGUACGUACUGGCAUCGUUGGUUUCUCCCUUCUGACGAACCAUGAUGUCAUUUAUUUGGUGUUGUGAGGAAUCAGGACUGUUACUUUGAAGAAAUUAGAGUGUUUAAAGCAGGCUCACGCUUGAAUACAUUAGCAUGGAAUAAUGAAAUAGGACGUUUGAUUCUAUUUUGUUGGUUUCUAGGAUCGACGUAAUGAUUAAUAGGGAUAGUUGGGGGCAUUAGUAUUCAAUUGUCAGAGGUGAAAUUCUUGGAUUUAUUGAAGACUAACUACUGCGAAAGCAUUUGCCAAGGAUGUUUUCAUUAAUCAAGAACGAAAGUUAGGGGAUCGAAGACGAUCAGAUACCGUCGUAGUCUUAACCAUAAACUAUGCCGACUAGGGAUCGGAUGAUGUUAAUUUUUUAAUGACUCAUUCGGCGCCUUACGGGAAACCAAAGUGUUUGGGUUC
rnacentral:rRNA from 1 species